UACGGGGGGAGCAAGCGUUGUUCGGAUUUACUGGGCGUAAAGGGCGCGUAGGCGGCGUGGCAAGUCACUUGUGAAAUCUCCGGGCUUAACCCGGAACGGUCAAGUGAUACUGCUGUGCUAGAGUGCGGAAGGGGCAACUGGAAUUCUUGGUGUAGCGGUGAAAUGCGUAGAUAUCAAGAGGAACACCUGCGGCGAAGGCGGGUUGCUGGGCCGACACUGACGCUGAGGCGCGAAAGCUAGGGGAGCGAACGGG
rnacentral:rRNA from 1 species